rnacentral:rRNA from 1 species
AGAGUUUGAUCCUGGCUCAGGAUGAACGCUGGCGGCGUGCUUAACACAUGCAAGUCGAGCGAGAAAAGUUCUUCGGAGCUUUUCUAGCGGCGGACGGGUGAGUAACACGUGGGCAACCUGCCUCAUAGAGGGGAAUAGCCUUCCGAAAGGAAGAUUAAUACCGCAUAAUAUUGUUGAAAGGCAUCUUUUAACAAUCAAAGGAGCAAUCCGCUAUGAGAUGGGCCCGCGGCGCAUUAGCUAGUUGGUGAGGUAACGGCUCACCAAGGCGACGAUGCGUAGCCGACCUGAGAGGGUGAUCGGCCACAUUGGAACUGAGACACGGUCCAGACUCCUACGGGAGGCAGCAGUGGGGAAUAUUGCGCAAUGGAGGAAACUCUGACGCAGUGACGCCGCGUGCAGGAAGAAGGUUUUCGGAUUGUAAACUGCUUUAGACAGGGAAGAGAAAGGACAGUACCUGUAGAAUAAGCUCCGGCUAACUACGUGCCAGCAGCCGCGGUAAUACGUAGGGAGCGAGCGUUAUCCGGAUUUAUUGGGUGUAAAGGGUGCGUAGACGGGAAUACAAGUUAGUUGUGAAAUACCUCGGCUUAACUGAGGAACUGCAACUAAAACUAUAUUUCUUGAGUACAGGAGAGGUAAGUGGAAUUCCUAGUGUAGCGGUGAAAUGCGUAGAUAUUAGGAGGAACACCAGUGGCGAAGGCGACUUACUGGACUGAAACUGACGUUGAGGCACGAAAGCGUGGGGAGCAAACAGGAUUAGAUACCCUGGUAGUCCACACCGUAAACGAUGGAUACUAGGUGUAGGAGAUAUUAAGUCUUCUGUGCCGCAGUUAACACAAUAAGUAUUCCACCUGGGGAGUACGAUCGCAAGGUUGAAACUCAAAGGAAUUGACGGGGGCCCGCACAAGCAGUGGAUUAUGUGGUUUAAUUCGACGCAACGCGAAGAACCUUACCGGGAUUUGACAUCCUACUAACGAAGCAGAGAUGCAUUAGGUGCCCUUCGGGGAAAGUAGAGACAGGUGGUGCAUGGUUGUCGUCAGCUUGUGUCGUGAGAUGUUGGGUUAAGUCCCGCAACGAGCGCAACCCUUAUUGUUAGUUGCCAGCAUUAAGUUGGGCACUCUAGCAAGACUGCCGGUGACAAACCGGAGGAAGGUGGGGAUGACGUCAAAUCAUCAUGCCCCUUAUGUCUAGGGCUACACACGUGCUACAAUGGCAAGUACAAAGAGAAGCAAUACUGUGAAGUGGAGCAAAACUCAAAAACUUGUCUCAGUUCGGAUUGUAGGCUGAAACUCGCCUACAUGAAGUUGGAGUUGCUAGUAAUCGCGAAUCAGAAUGUCGCGGUGAAUACGUUCCCGGGUCUUGCACUCACCGCCCGUCA